rnacentral:lncRNA from 1 species
CCUAUGAAUUAUUGUAGAGAUGGUGGAGAACAUACAAUCUUUACUAGCAGGGAGGUGCAUAAAUUUCAACAUAUUUUCAGAGAAGGAAAUAAAUUAGCUAAUUUUUUAGCUAACGGACCAUUAGAUAAAGGCAAUUUUAGUUGUUCAACUUUUAACACAUUGGAAAGCACAGCAAGGAGAAUACUAAAUAGUGACAAGAGCCAGUAUCCAUACUUAAGAUUAUCAUCAUGUAAGGGGUGAUAGGGCUGGAAAGGAUUAGCAUACAAUUUUUCACAAAGCAUAUUUACAAGAAUAGAAGAGUCAAUAUAAAAGGUAAAAAUCUAGCUAGCCUAUUUACUUCAGCCAACAAAAAGGGCCCAGCAAAAUAGAAGGAGCCUAAAUUGACCGGGAGCUUGAACUUUCAACAUUUGGAGUUGUGGAUUAAAGCUACCCCUGCACUUUAUUCCAGCUCCAUCUACAAAGAAAGGAGAAUGGGUGAAAGCUUGAGAUUAACCAAACACAGUAGUAUAGCAUACUAUAUGAAAGGAUGAGCUUCUAAGAGAUUGGUUCCUAUAGAGUGUUGCAGUAUUACACCAUCCCUCGGAGAGCUUAGCUGGAAAAAGCAAAAAUCAGGCAAUGCAACAACAAACUCAAAGUAAGAAAAGGAAGAAACAUUAAUCUUGAUAGAUAAUAAAGAAGACAUGUAAGAAUCAAGCUAACAAUAUUAAUGACCCAAACAAGAAGUAUGAUAAAGGCGGAGUUAGCAUGCAGCAGCAAUAUAGCUACAGGUGGGGGAGUAGAAAAUGGAAAGUGUAGGAAUAGGAACCCUACAAAGGAUAUAUAUAUAGGAGUAGUGGACUCGGGUCGUUAUUGGACCGAGUUGGGCUAUUUUUUAAGUGUUAGUGUUUUUUGGUUUUCUUGUUUUGUGUGGAUUACGAAGGGUGUAUGGCCUAAAGUGAUGUAUGAUUUUAAUUAAUCAAUAAAAUCUCA